rnacentral:rRNA from 1 species
GCUGGCGGCGUGCUUAACACAUGCAAGUCGAACGGUGAAAGCGGAGCUUGCUCCGCCGGAUCAGUGGCGAACGGGUGAGUAACACGUGAGCAAUCUGCCCCAGACUCUGGGAUAAGCGCUGGAAACGGCGUCUAAUACCGGAUACGAGCUACGAAGGCAUCUUCAGUAGCUGGAAAGAACUUCGGUCUGGGAUGAGCUCGCGGCCUAUCAGCUUGUUGGUGAGGUAACGGCUCACCAAGGCGUCGACGGGUAGCCGGCCUGAGAGGGUGACCGGCCACACUGGGACUGAGACACGGCCCAGACUCCUACGGGAGGCAGCAGUGGGGAAUAUUGCACAAUGGGCGCAAGCCUGAUGCAGCAACGCCGCGUGAGGGACGACGGCCUUCGGGUUGUAAACCUCUUUUAGCAGGGAAGAAGCCUUCGGGUGACGGUACCUGCAGAAAAAGCACCGGCUAACUACGUGCCAGCAGCCGCGGUAAUACGUAGGGUGCAAGCGUUAUCCGGAAUUAUUGGGCGUAAAGAGCUCGUAGGCGGUCUGUCGCGUCUGCUGUGAAAACCCGAGGCUCAACCUCGGGCCUGCAGUGGGUACGGGCAGACUAGAGUGCGGUAGGGGAGAUUGGAAUUCCUGGUGUAGCGGUGGAAUGCGCAGAUAUCAGGAGGAACACCGAUGGCGAAGGCAGAUCUCUGGGCCGUAACUGACGCUGAGGAGCGAAAGGGUGGGGAGCAAACAGGCUUAGAUACCCUGGUAGUCCACCCCGUAAACGUUGGGAACUAGUUGUGGGGUCCAUUCCACGGAUUCCGUGACGCAGCUAACGCAUUAAGUUCCCCGCCUGGGGAGUACGGCCGCAAGGCUAAAACUCAAAGGAAUUGACGGGGACCCGCACAAGCGGCGGAGCAUGCGGAUUAAUUCGAUGCAACGCGAAGAACCUUACCAAGGCUUGACAUAUACGAGAACGGGCCAGAAAUGGUCAACUCUUUGGACACUCGUAAACAGGUGGUGCAUGGUUGUCGUCAGCUCGUGUCGUGAGAUGUUGGGUUAAGUCCCGCAACGAGCGCAACCCUCGUUCUAUGUUGCCAGCACGUAAUGGUGGGAACUCAUGGGAUACUGCCGGGGUCAACUCGGAGGAAGGUGGGGAUGACGUCAAAUCAUCAUGCCCCUUAUGUCUUGGGCUUCACGCAUGCUACAAUGGCCGGUACAAAGGGCUGCAAUACCGCGAGGUGGAGCGAAUCCCAAAAAGCCGGUCCCAGUUCGGAUUGAGGUCUGCAACUCGACCUCAUGAAGUCGGAGUCGCUAGUAAUCGCAGAUCAGCAACGCUGCGGUGAAUACGUUCCCGGGUCUUGUACACACCGCCCGUCAAGUCAUGAAAGUCGGUAACACCUGAAGCCGGUGGCCCAACCUUUUGGAGGGAGCCGUCGAAGGUGGGAUCGGUAAUUAG